rnacentral:tRNA from 1 species
CCGGGCCCGGGCGGCCGGGUGGACGCCCACCGUCGCCGAGGUGGUCACGGUGAUCGUCGAGCCGUUCGACCGGCUGGCCCGGG